CCACGGUUUCACAUGGGUUGUGGGGGUUGCCACCACCUCCUCCCCCAACCUGGUCGGAGCCAGCUUGCCUCGCUCUGGCCUUCUGCAGCAUUACUGGGGGCAGCAGCACAGCACAGCCGGCAGCCAGGCCGGAGCAGGCUCCCCCACCACCUAUGCAGAGAGCAGCACAGAUGGGAGAACAAGAACAAGAGAAGAAGCUGAUCCUGCCAACCCAAUCUAAAUCUGGACCUGUUGUUUGAGUUCUCAUAACAAAUGUUGGAGGGACUGAAAAAAAAUCCUCAGAGAUCUAAUGGACUGCAGCAGGACUCUCCUGGUCAUACCUACCACACGUUUAACCUCUGUUUUGCUUUUUUCUCUCUGUGAACAAAAUGGAGAUAAAAUUCCACCCUGCUACAUGCAAAUCUCUCUCUCUUUUCCUCGAUGAACAUAUACAAAAUCCAAUAAUAUUCUCUCUCAGUGGAACCCAAGAAGCCAUUGCAUCUAAUUGAAAGCAAUACUAAAUUAACUGUCAAGCACAGUCUGAGGAGGAAGCUUUUUACAAGCUCCAGGAGUUUGAUCAAGCAAGUGGAAAGGGCAUUCUAUUUUUCGCUCCAUUAAACAUAAGGAAAUGUGUUUGGUAUAAUCAGUGUUGUUUAUUGACCAUAAUCUUAAUACCAUAAACUCAUAUAAUUAAAU